ensembl:lncRNA
GGGAAUUGAAUUAUGGGGUGGGAUCCCCGCUGCUGUUCUGUGAUAGAGUUUUCACAAGAUCUGAUGAUUUUGCAGGUGUUUGGCAUUUCCCCUGUGGGCACUUUUCUCUCCUAUCACCAUGUGAAAAAGGAUGUGCUUUCUUCUCCUUCUGUCAUGACUGGAAGUUUCCUGAGGACUCUCCACCCAUGCACCUGGGUGACAGAGCAAGACUCCAUCUCAAAAAACAAAAAACAACAUUAAAAAAGCAAUGAAAUUUAAAUUAUAAUAAAAAUAUUGAAAACAACAAAAAAGUCCAUGACCAGAUGAAUUCAUAGCUGCUUUCUAUAAAACAUUCAAAUAGUUGAUUCACACAAUUCCAAAAGAUAGAAAAAGGGAAUUCUCCCUAAAUUAUUCUACGAAGCCACUAUCACCCCUAAUAACAAAACCAGAAAAGGACAUAACAACAACAACAAUAACUACAAACCAAUAGCCCUGAUGAAUGUAGAUUUAAAAAGUCCUCACAAAAUACUAGCUAACUGAAUCCAAGAGCAUAUCAAAAAAUAAUCCACCAUGAUCAAGUGGGUUUCAUACCAGGGAUGCAGGGUUUGCUUAACACAAACAAGCCAAUACAUGUGAUACACCAUCUAGAAUUAAAAACAAAAAACACAUGAUUAUCUCAAUAGAACAGAAAAAAACAUUUAACAAAAUUCUUCAUCUCUUUAUGAUUAAAACCCUCAGCAAAUUGGCAUAGAAAGAACACACCUUAAUGUAAUAAAAGCCAUCUAUGACAAACCUACAGCCAACAUUAUACUUAACAGGGAAAAGAUUAAAGCAUUCCCCAUGAGAACUGGAAAAGACAAGGAUGAUCACUUUCACUAUUUCUAUUCAACAUAGUACUAGGAAUUCUAGCCAGAGCAAUCAGACAAGAAAAAGAAGUAAAGAGCAUCUGGACUGGCAAAGAGGAAGGAAAACUGUCACCAUUUGCUGAUGAUAUGAUCACAAACCUAGAAAACACUAAAGACUCAUACAAAAAGCUCCAAAAACUGGUAAAUGAGUUCAGAAAAGUUUCAGCAUAUAGAAUUAAUGUAUACAAAUCAGUAGCACUAGCAUACACCAACAGCAACCAAACUGAGAAUCAAAUCAAGAACUCAACCUAUUUUAUAAUAGCUGCAUAAAUAAAUGAAUGAAUGAAUAACUUAGAAGUAUACCUAACCAAGGAAGUAACAGACCUCUAUAAGAAAAACUACAAAACACUGCUGAAAGAAAUCAGACAACACAAACAAACAGAAACAUAUCCCAUACUUAUGGAUGGGUAGAAUCAAUGUGGUAGAAAUGACCUUGCCGCCAAAACAAUCUACAAUUUCAAUGCAAUUCCCAUCAAAAUACUACUGUCAUUCUUCACACACCAAAAAAAAAAAAAAAAAAAAAAAAAAGAAAAAGGUGUCCAAAAAUUCACAUGGGGCCAAAAAAAGAGCCCAGAAAGAGCCCAGAUAGCCAAAGCAAGACUAAGCACAAAGGACAAAUCUAGGAGCAUUACACUACACAACUUCAAACUAUACUAUAAGACCAUAGUCACCAAAACAGCAUGGUACUGGUAUAAAAAUAGGAACAAUGACCGAAGGAACAGAAUAGAGAACUCAGAAAUAAAGCCAAAUAAUUACAGUCAAUUACUCUUCAACAAAGCAAACAAAAACAUCAAGUGGGGAAAGGACACUAUAUUCAACAAAUGGUGCUGGGAUAACUAGCAAGCCACAUAUAGAAUAAUGAAACCAGAUCCUCAUCUCUCACCUUAUACAACAAUCAACUCAAGAUGGAUCAAAGUCUUAAAUAUAACACCUAAAACCAUAAAAAUUCUAGAAGAUAACAUCAGAAAACCCUUCCAGUUAUUGGCUUAGGCAAAUACAUCAUAACCCAGAACCCAAAAGCUAAUGCAACAAAAACAAGGAUAAAUAGAUAGGAAUUAAUCAAAUUUAAAUGCUUCUGCACAGCAAAAGAAACAGUCAGCAGAGUAAACAGAUCACCAACAUAACAGGAGAAAAUAUUCUCAAUCUGCACAUCCAACAAAGGAUUAAUAUCCAAAAUCUACAAGGAACUCAAAUAAAUCAGCAAGAAGCAGCAAACAGUCCCAUCAAAAAGUGGCCUAAUGACAUGAAUAGACAAUUCUCAAAAGAAGAUAUACAAGUGGUAAAAACC